AAGGAAAGUUAUUUAUUUAAUUUUUGUAUAAUAUUUGCGGUAGAUUAAGAGGUAAUCAAUAGAAAUAUUAAUAAGUUAAUAAAUAUUGUUAUGGGUUAUUUUUUUUUUUCUUACAAAAAAAAUAAUAGCAGCUAAAUAUAAAUAACUUGUUGUGGAAAAUCAAGCCCAUCUAAACUUUUUUUUUAGUAAGAAAUUUUCACACGAAAUAGGUUACAUUAUUCC
rnacentral:RNase_P_RNA from 1 species